CGGCCCCACCCCCACCGCUGUGCGGAGGACACCCCUCCAACCGCGGAUGCUCAGGGACGGGGGGGGGGGCCUGUGGACACUGGGCUGGCCGGGUCAAUGUCCAGCGGAGAGGGUGACCCAAGCCCAUGCCACCCAGCACUGGUGGCCAUGCCAAGCAACCUGCCCUGGACAGAUGAGCUGGCAGUGCCCCAGCCCUCCCCAGUGAGGCCCCGAAGGGGCCCUGUCACCCUGACACAUCGUGCCCGGUCAGCUCAGAGCCUCAGCAGGCCCUGCUUGCCGGCCUGAGCAGAAGCUGGCAGCCAGGCCCCGAGAUCGGGGCCGCACGCCAGGAACGGGGAACCCGCCCCCCACCAGGGAGGCUUCCAACGCCAGCCUGGUAGCGCUCUGACCCUCUGGCUGUUGCCCAAGAGUCUUACGGAAAAUACCCUCUCCUUUUCCAAGCCAGGAUCCCUGCCCCUCCAGCAUGGACACCCCCAGCCCUGGCCAACAAGGAGUGUCCUUCUGAAGCUCCCUGUUCACCCUCAAGAAAGCAAAGAAUUGCAGAGUCGUCUCCAGGAGGCUGGGGAGGCAGGGUGCAAGAAGCACUCGGCCUCUUGCCAGGGGCCGUGGGCCUCACGCCCACACAGGGGCUGGGCACCACAAGCAAGCCCCAGCACGUGCCCACAGCCCUUAGGUGCUCACAGGGCCAGGCGCACCCAGGCCCGGCAACACGGCAGCUCCCCACCAUGGCGGUGGCGGCCCAGCUGAGACACACGACAGGGCAGGUGGCGGAACGGCCCUUUAUUGAGAGUCACAGAAUGAAACUCCAGCAGCUUGGCCCGCACCUCCUCGUCCCCGCACACGUCUGAGGAGGAGUGGCCAGAGGGUCACAGGCGCCCGCCCGCCCGCCCGCCCGUGCCCUACACCGGGAGGAUGCGGCCCCAGGCUCACCGAGAGGCGUCUCUUCCAUCAGGGAUUUGCCGUUCAGGUCAUUCCGGGCAGCCGCCUCCAGAAGGGCAACGCUUGGGGGGAAGAGGACCCGCUUCUGUGGCCGGCCGUCGGCCGCCUCCUUCUGUGACUGCGUCCGCUGGCCCCUCCUGCCAUGGGCCUCCUUCUCGGCCUGGGCCCACAUCUUCACCUGCUGGGCACGUCGCUUCUGGGCGUGCUUCAGCCGCUCCUGUGUGCUCAUCCUGCCCACCGUGGGCAUCUCUGCCAGCAGCUCCAGGUGCUCGGCCAUGGCGGGGGCUGCCUGCCAGGGGGGCUGCUGGGGGCACCGGACGGGGAAGCGCGGGGGCCAGGCUGGGCCUGCGAGGCGGGGCAGCUGGCUGGACUGGCGCCCUGGGGGGCAUCCCCUCUCUAAGGCUCAGUGUCCUCUGCCCCUGGCAAGGCUGGGUCAGGAGGCCCCCCGCUGUGACCAGACCCGGGCAGCCAUGAGGGGCCCGGGCCCCAGGCAGAAAGGGCAGCAAGGGAGGGCGCCUGCAGCCGGCCUCCCAGGGCCCUGGCACCUCGGCUGCUCGAUGGACAAGGCCUCCCUCCCUCGUCCUGGACCCGGCCAGCCUCAGUUCAGGGUCUGAAGCUAAUGACCCAGAUAACGGAGUUGCAGCUCGCUGGCGCCUUGCCGAGGGGAAGAGGAGGCCAGGGCAAGGGGCAGAGGCCCCGGGAGCCCUAAAAGCCCCUCUCACCUAACAGGCCUUAGGGGACCAGGUGGGGUCUAGGAGCAGCCAUGGCGGGGGCCUUCCCUCCCCACACCCCCAGCCUUCUGGGGUCGGUGCUAACGAGGAGGUGUGGCCACAGGGGGCCCGGGCGGGCGUGUGUCCAGAGUCCCAGGGUCCGGCCCCCAGCGCCUGGGGCCGAGGCUCUCUAAGCGGCCAGGGCACCGAGGGUACAGCGGGCCUGGCAACUGUGUCUUCAGGAAGGCGUCCCCUUCGCAGGAGCCGGCGGCCCAGCUGUGCACGGCAGGCGCUCCCGCUGGCCUGAGAGGAGGAAGCAGGAAGCGCGUCAAGGCCAGCCGGCGGCGACGGCUCCACCCGGAGCCCCGCCCUGUGUGAGGGCGAGCCCUGCCCGGGAGAUCCUGGCGGAGGGGAGGGGGCUGGCAGUGCCCGCAGUCUGGCCCACACGCUCGCCCGCCGUUUCCAGCAAGGGCCUGCAGGCUGUGCGGCUGAGAGAGGGGCGCAGGGCUGGCACUGCCAGCUCGCUGCGGCCUUCCUGAGAGGCGGCCCCUCGAGGCCUCCGGCUCAGCCCUUGCCCCGCAGCGCCCCUGACCUGUGCGCCCUGGGCCGGGCCGGCUGGCCAAGGUCACCUUCUCCUUGGGCUCUCCCGGACUCCCCGAGCGCUGUGCGGCCUAGGCCUUCCCGAGAGCAGGCCCUGCCGCCUGGACACCGGGCCGCCCUGCUGCUCGGCCACAGCUGCGGAGGGCGGAGGGCCUGGCCUGGCCUGCCCCGCACCCCAGCUCCUCAACACCCGAGUCUGGGCCUCUUCCUCGCCGGGCUUUCUGUUUCUAGCUCAGGCCACUCGGUGCUUUGCUUCCCUCUGCCAUCCUGGGCGGCGGUCCAAGCCCUGGUUGUGUGAACGCAGGCGCAGGUGGCCUGCCUGACAGACAGGUGGGCCGGCAGCUGGGCUGGGGCACAGCCCCACAGUCCCCACCAUGGCCCGUCCUGCGCAGCACGCCUGGUGUGCUCACUAGGCAUGGUCCCAGGACACUCCUCGGGAGGCCAUGGCCAUGCUCCACCUAGAAGGUACCCACCGGCAGCUCAGCCUGCCCACCGGGAGUCCCCGUUCCCACUCGGCCAGACCUUGUGGCCAUCUAGAGACUGACCCAGGCUUCUUCUGGCCAGACUUGUACUCAGGGAUCUCAGUGAGUGCCCCCUUCUUUCUGGAGGGGGACUGUCCUGGGCCAGAUCAAGUGAGGUCAGGUCCCUCCUGCCCCGGGACCCCCAGUGUGUUGGGAGCCUCGCAUUACAGCUCUGCCUCGCCCUGGACUUUGCUGGUACUCCAGCUAUCCGCUCUGCGAGCCAGGCCUCAGAGGCUACCAGGGGACAGGAAAGAGCCCUCCAGGCGGACAGCCCCCAGCUGGCCACCUCUGCAGAUGAGCUGCCUAGCCCCCCUGCCUGGAUCCCCCAGGUCCCACCUCUGCCCUGACCGAGACAGGCAGGAGGCCUGCAGGCACCGUGGCAACUCCCCACCCAUUAGGCUGGGGGUGGAUCCCAGACCAAACCCAAGGCGUGGCAGGGCUUUCACUGGUCUGUAAGACUCUCCCUCCCUGCUGGCCACUCACAGGCAGCCUCAGGUUCCCCUGGAGGGAGCUGGGACUCCCUGCAGCCCACACAUGGGAUCUUCACCUGUCUGGGGUAGGUCUCUGAAGAGCCUGCCCCAAGAGACGCGGGAAGGAGGAGCAACGCACUCUGCCCAGGGCCACCCCCGACCCCGUCACAGAGGAUGCUGCCCCCACCUGUCCACGAGGGAGGAGGUCCCCUGCAGGCCAAGGCUCCACAGCAGAGCGGGCUCACAGGGCCUCAGUGACCAUCUUCUCCAAGUGGGCGCCAACAUCAGAGCCACAGCCCGAUUUUGUUAAGUUUGACAAGAUUUAGGAGAUGUCAUCUACCCCAUCAUUUUAUGGAAGAAAAGAGAUUCUGACGCCCACGUCCUACAGAAAUUCCCCUAGAGGGGACUUCCCUGAUGGCCCAGUGGGUAGGACUGCAUGGUUCCACUGCACGGGUUCGAUUCCCUCAUCGGGGAGCUAAGACCCCUGCAUGCGGGGGAGCAGGGUAGGGGACAGAAAACAACCUAAAAUAGAGUAACCACCAGCUUUUCAAAUUGAA